CUAGUCAAAAGACUCAAAAACUAUAUGCCAACUACCAAAGAUCUUGGGUGCUCGGCGAGAAAGCAAAGCGAUGUCUGAAUAUUUGUAAGACGAAGAAAAGGGACCCACAAAAGCUUCAAAGGUUAUUCAGAGAACAGA
ensembl:ncRNA F47C8.8 ncRNA